rnacentral:sRNA from 1 species
GGUUGGUUGGAGUGCAGCAGGGUCUACAACUAAUUGAUCACAACUAAUUAUUGAUUUUGUUGUCCCUUCCUCACUCUCCACCUGAUUAGCCUUAA